GACGAACGCUGGCGGCGUGCCUAAUACAUGCAAGUUGAGCGCUGAAGGUUGGUACUUGUACCGACUGGCUGAGCAGCGAACGGGUGAGUAACGCGUGGGGAAUCUGCCUUUGAGCGGGGGACAACAUUUGGAAACGAAUGCUAAUACCGCAUAAAAACUUUAAACACAAGUUUUAAGUUUGAAAGAUGCAAUUGCAUCACUCAAAGAUGAUCCCGCGUUGUAUUAGCUAGUUGGUGAGGUAAAGGCUCACCAAGGCGAUGAUACAUAGCCGACCUGAGAGGGUGAUCGGCCACAUUGGGACUGAGACACGGCCCAAACUCCUACGGGAGGCAGCAGUAGGGAAUCUUCAGCAAUGGACGAAAGUCUGACCGAGCAACGCCGCGUGAGUGAAGAAGGUUUUCGGAUCGUAAAACUCGGUUGGUAGAGAAGAACGUUGGUGAGAGUGGAAAGCUCAUCAAGUGACGGUAACUACCCAGAAAGGGACGGCUAACUACGUG
rnacentral:rRNA from 1 species